CUCAGUGCAGAAACAAUACAUCAUCAGACUGACCUAGUUUGCAGGACCGCGGGUGCUUGCGAAGGAUAAUUAUCUUCUGUGAAUCGUUUCCAUCAAUGCAUCAGUCAAUCAAUCUUCACCAGCACCACACGCCAUCAGCAACUCUAUUUUGUUGUUUCUUCUAAUGGAAACGGCUCUCCAUGAGAGUUCUGAUGUGUUCGAGUGAUGAACGAGGACACAGUUUGGUGAGAGAACCAGCACUUAAUCUGAAGCCAUUCUGUGCAUCCCUGACACAAAGAUGCUGGUUCUGCACCUGACACUUAAACUUUGUGGUCUUCCACCCCGAUUUUCUCACCAAGUGCACUUUUCAAAACAUGUAAAUGUAAGGAAUAAUUAUUAUUAUUAAACGUGCAGUACGUGGUGCUCAUGUUUAUUCAAUGAAGCCUUUUGGAAAAUUGGUCAGUUUUCUUACCUUUCUGGACAUGGACAGUAGACCGGACACACAGUUUCAAAGGAGGGACUGAGAGCUCUCGGACUAAAUCUAAAAUAUCUUAAACUGUGUUCUGAAGAUAGACGGAGCUUUUACUGGUUUGGAACGACAUGAGGGUGAGUCAUUAAUGACAUAAUUUUCAUUUUUUUGGUGAACUAACCCUUUAACUGCGUUUGUAGAUGGCACCGCUAGCCAGACUGAUAUACCCAACACAGACCGGAAGUUAACUUAGGGCCAGGCGCGUGUGCCUGAUGAAGUCUAUAUAAGGUACAAAGGUACAAACCCC
rnacentral:lncRNA from 1 species